rnacentral:rRNA from 1 species
UUGCACGCUGGCGGCAGGCUUAACACAUGCAAGUCGAGCGGUAGCACAGGGGAGCUUGCUCCCUGGGUGACGAGCGGCGGACGGGUGAGUAAUGUCUGGGAAACUGCCUGAUGGAGGGGGAUAACUACUGGAAACGGUAGCUAAUACCGCAUAACGUCGCAAGACCAAAGAGGGGGACCUUCGGGCCUCUUGCCAUCAGAUGUGCCCAGAUGGGAUUAGCUAGUAGGUGGGGUAAUGGCUCACCUAGGCGACGAUCCCUAGCUGGUCUGAGAGGAUGACCAGCCACACUGGAACUGAGACACGGUCCGGACUCCUACGGGAGGCAGCAGUGGGGAAUAUUGCACAAUGGGCGCAAGCCUGAUGCAGCCAUGCCGCGUGUGUGAAGAAGGCCUUCGGGUUGUAAAGCACUUUCAGCGAGGAGGAAGGUGGUGAGCUUAAUACGUUCAUCAAUUGACGUUACUCGCAGAAGAAGCACCGGCUAACUCCGUG